rnacentral:rRNA from 1 species
AGCAGCCGCGGUAAUUCCAGCUCCAAUAGCGUAUAUUAAAGUUGUUGCAGUUAAAAAGCUCGUAGUUGAAUUUCGGGGGUUAAUAAGUUGGUCGUACCUAUGGUAUGUACUGGCUUUAUUGAUUCCUACCUCUUGACGAGCUGUGAUGCCAUUAAUUUGGUGUUGCAAGGAAUCAGGACUGUUACCUUGAAAAAAUUAGAGUGUUUAAAGCAGGCUCACGCUUGAAUACAUUAGCAU